AUUGAACGCUGGCGGCAUGCUUUACACAUGCAAGUCGAACGGUAACAGGCCUUCGGGUGCUGACGAGUGGCGAACGGGGGAGUAAUGCAUCGGAACGUACCCAGAGGUGGGGGAUAACGCAGCGAAAGCUGUGCUAAUACCGCAUGUGAUCUGAGGAUGAAAGCGGGGGACCGAGCAGCAAUGUUUGGCCUCGCGCCUUUGGAGCGGCCGAUGUCGGAUUAGCUAGUUGGUGGGGUAAAGGCCUACCAAGGCGACGAUCCGUAGCUGGUCUGAGAGGACGACCAGCCACACUGGGACUGAGACACGGCCCAGACUCCUACGGGAGGCAGCAGUGGGGAAUUUUGGACAAUGGGCGCAAGCCUGAUCCAGCAAUGCCGCGUGCGGGAAGAAGGCCUUCGGGUUGUAAACCGCUUUUGGCAGGAACGAAACGGUGUCCGCUAAUACCGGGCGCUAAUGACGGUACCUGCAGAAUAAGCACCGGCUAACUACGUG
rnacentral:rRNA from 1 species